UUCCCCUCUCCCUGUUCCCUUUAAUUAAAUCAUCCUUAUCUCAAACCUUGAGCUCUUUGUGUCGUAUUUUCUCCCCAUUCCUCUUUGAGGAGGGGAAGUGAGAAAGCGGCCAUGGUGGAACUCGGCUGCCCACCUGAGUAAAACCACCACAGUGACCCAACGCUGCUCCCCCGGUUGUGCAUGCAAUGUAUUGAAGAGCUGAUCUUCCAAGGAAGCCUGGAAAAAGAAUUCUUUAAAGAUAAAUUGGACUACUGCUCUGCCAGACUACACCUCAAAUUUAGAAGAGGAGGUCAAGGGGACAUGGCUCUGAGAACUGUAGAUCUCACAGGAGCUUCUGUGCGUGUUUCUGCAGAGGGAUUAAUUCGACGGAGCAUCUGA
rnacentral:lncRNA from 1 species